GCAAAUUGAAAAUAGCUAGAAAACUGAAGUCAAGUUGAUGUCUGUUUAUACUAAGAAUGUACUCUGUAAGCUAAAUCAGUCAGUAUUGAUUUAACUUUGGUUCUUGAUGGUAGAAAUGAGUUUUCACAGCAUCACUGUGCUUGCUGUGAUUGAUGUUGACUCAGAAGAAUGAAGAAGUGAAACAAACUCUGAGUGUUCUAGCAAUGUGAUAAUCUAGUUGCUAGCCCAACUAAUCUUACUCUUCAAAAUAAUACGUUAUUUUGUAUUACUAAACUCAGAAUGUAAUUUUUAUAUUGUGCUUUCUUUCAGUAUUACUUGGUGGAAAAUUUGAAUUUGUACAAUGAGCUGAGAUACCUCAAGAACUUCACCAAAGCCCCUGGAAUUCAACUUGGGAAUGUUAACCAGAGACAUUUUGUUGCUUGUGCCAUAGAAGAGGAACCGAAGGGACCUAGUCUGGAAUGGAGAGAAUAUGAAGAUUCUGGUAAGUAGAAAAGGGACUGAGGAAACAUUUAGCAACUAAAAUCCUUGGAACUGCAUUAAAGGAAAGAAACACAUUGAAAUAUAAAGAAAAAAACCUUUCUAGCCCAUUUUAGCCUUAUUUUAGGCUGUUCUAAACUAUUAGAUCAUUCUUUUAGAUAAGGAUUAUCAAGAACUGUGAAGGGCCUGAGAUUUCACCCUUUUUGCAAGCUGAGUGAGCCGGCCACAGUUUGGUGGAGACUGGUGGAAGACACGAGACUCCUGGGCCUGAGAGUAACAUAAAUACAGCACAGCCAGCAGGCUGAGCAUCGGCACACGUUUGUGUUUGUUCCCUUUGUCUCCAAGUUCCACAGAAACG
rnacentral:lncRNA from 1 species